GACCCGUGAUAUUAAAUCCUUUUUAUCGUUUUCCGACAAAUUACGCGGUGCCAGCGAACCACAGUGCCAGGGAAGAAAGAAGAGGUGCCAGAGAUUACACAGUGUCAAUCCCAUCCCUGGAAAAGCUUAUAUCAUGCGGAAAAUUGGGUAUAUGUUGCAAGAACAGGAAGAAGAAAAAAAAGAACUACAUCUACAUCAUGGGUUAGGUAACGUACAGGUGUCCCCGUGCAUGCCAGUGGGCUCAGGUAAUGUGCCAUGUUACUUUUUUCAGCUUUUUCUGUGUUCUCGAUAAGGUGUGUGUGUCCGAGCGGCUAGUUCUGCU